rnacentral:lncRNA from 1 species
AUGAACUGGUCGAGCGUCUCCUUCCUGUCCUCGAGGGACUUGCAGACCUUGGCGUCCUGGAGGCAGCCCUUGAUCCUGUUCCAGUUCUUGUCGUCCUCCAGCCGCCGCUGCAGCCAGGUUGAGUAGUCCCCGAGCCUGUACUCCUUGAAUCCGCGGCCGGAGACGGCCUCGCCGGUGCCCUUGUGCGUGACGACGAAGGCGAAGACGGUGAAGCCGAGGAGGACGACGAUGAGCAGGAACAUGGCGACGAGGUAGAACCAGAGGAGGCACGUGACGCGGCAGCAGGCGCCGACGAGCCCCGCGACAGAUACGAGCAUGAGGAAGACCCCCAGCACGAUGAACGGCGCCGCCAGGUAGCGCUCGCACUCGGUGCCGUCGGCCCGCGCCCGCAGCCAGAUGCCGCCCGCCAGGAUCGGCACCGACAGCAGGAACGUCACCGCGUUCAGGAUCCCGAUCACCGUGUUGCUCAGCCGCACCAUCCUGGGCGCCGGCGGCGUGGGUGUCUCGCGGUUUCUUGGAGGGGAGGGGCUGGGUGGCGGUUCCUCGGUUGGCGCAGGCGGUUUUCCCUUUCGAA